rnacentral:lncRNA from 1 species
CAUGGAGAAGAGAUAACCCUUUAGUUCUAGUGGGGAGAGAAACUCCCCAACCUCAGGGCUACCUCUGAGCAAACCCAGAAUCCAUGGGACGGUGUUAAGAUCUCCAGAAAGCGAAGUCUGGUCUAGUCUGCACUGCUCAUUCUUCUACAUCAACAGGGAUCAAGUGGGGAAAACGGAACAACAUUGGCAGAAGAUGUUAGCAGGUCUGCAAUGUCAGAAUAGUUACUCUCAGUUGUUAAGGUCUGGCCAUAAUGUGUUCCCUACAAGCCUGUGCCCCAGAGAAGUGGUAGUGGUGCUGGUGGUAUUAGCAGUAUCAGCUGCAGCAGCAGCACCACUAGCAGCACUAGCAGCACCACUAGCAGUAGCACCAACACCAGCACCAGCAGCCUCACCAGCAGCAGCACCUGCACCAGCACCAGCAGCACUAGCACCAGUAGCACCAGCACCAGCACCAGUAGCACCAGCAGCAGCAGCACCACUAGCAGCACCAGCACCAACACUACCAGCAGCAGCAGCAGCAGCAGAACCAGUACCAGCACCAGCAGCACUAGCACCAGCAGCACCAGCACCAGCAGCAGCAGCAGCAGCAGCACCAAUACCAGCACCAGCAGCACCAAAACCAGUACCAGCACCAGCAGCACUAGCACCAGCAGCAGCACCACCAGCACCAGCAGCACUAGCACCAGUAGCACCAGCACCAGCACCACCAGCAGCAGCAGCAGCAGCACCAGAACCAGUACCAGCACCAGCACCAGCAGCAGCAGCAGCACCACCAGCAGCAGCAGCACCAGCACCAUCAGCACCAGCAGCACUAGCACCAGUAGCACCAGCACCAGCACCAGUAGCACCAGCAGCAGCAGCACCACUAGCAGCACCAGCACCAACACUACCAGCAGCAGCAGCAGCAGCAGCAGCAGCAGCAGCAGCAGCAGCAGAACCAGUACCAGCACCAGCAGCACUAGCACCAGCAGCACCAGCACCAGCACCAGCACCAGAACCAGCAGCAGCAGCAGCAGCAGCACCAAUACCAGCACCAGCAGCACCAAUACCAGCACCAGCAGCACCAAAACCAGUACCAGCACCAGCAGCACUAGCACCAGCACCAGCACCACCAGCACCAGCAGCACUAGCACCAGUAGCACCAGCACCAGCACCACCAGCAGCAACAGCAGCACCAGAACCAGUACCAGCACCAGCAGCAGCAGCAGCAGCAGCACCACUAGCAGCAGCAGCACCAGCACUACCAGCAGCAGCAGCACCAGCAUCAAUACCAGCACCAGCAGAACUACUAGCAGCAGCAGCAGCAGCAGCACCAGCACCAGCACCAAUACCAGCACCAGCAGCACCACUAGCAGCAGCAGCACCAGCAGCACCAGCACCAGCAGCAGCACCAGAACCAGUACCAGCACCAGCAGCAGCAGCAGCACCAGCACUACCAGCAGCAGCAGCACCAGCACCAGCACCAGCACCAAUACCAGCACCAGCAGAACUACUAGCAGCAGCAGCAGCACCAGCACCAGCAGCAUCACUAGCAGCAGCAGCACCAGCACUACCAGCAGCACCAGCACCAGCAGCAGCACCAGCACCAAUACCAGCACCAGCAGAACUACUAGCAGCAGCAGCAGCACCAGCACCAGCAGCAGCAACAGCACCAGCAAAACUACUAGCAGCAGCAGCAGCAGCAGCACCAGCAGCAGCACCAGCAGCAUCACUAGCAGCAGCAGCACCAGCACUACCAGCAGCAGCAGCACCAGCACCAAUACCAGCACCAGCAGAACUACUAGCAGCAGCAGCAGCACCAGCACCAGCAGCAGCACCAGCAGCAGCAGCAGCAGCGCCACUAGCAGCAGCAGCACCAGCACUACCAGCAGCAGCAGCAGCAGCACCAGCACCAGCACCAAUACCAGCACCAGCAGAACUACUAGCAGCAGCAGCAGCACCAGCACCAGCACCAAUACCAGCACCAGCAAAACUACUAGCAGCAGCAGCAGCAGCAGCAGCAGCAGCAGCACCAGCAGCAGCAGCAGCAGCAGCAUCACCACUAGCAGCAGCAGCACCAGCACUACCAGCAGCAGCAGCACCAGCAGCAGCACCAGCACCAAUACCAGCACCAGCAGAACUACUAGCAGCAGCAGCAGCAGCAGCACCAGCACCAGCAGCACCACUAACAGUACUAGCAUCAGCACUACCAGCAGCAGCAGCAGCAGCAGCACCAGCACCAGCACCAACACCAAUACCAGCACCAGCAAAACUACUAGCAGCAGCAGCAGCACCAGCACCAGCACCAAUACCAGCACCAGCAAAACUACUAGCAGCAGCAGCAGCACCAGCACCAGCAGCACCACUAGCAGCAGCAGCAGCACCAGCACCAGCAGCAGCACCAGCAGCAGCAGCAGCAGCACCACUAGCAGCAGCAGCACCAGCACUACCAGCAGAAGCAGCAGCACCAGCACCAAUACCAGCACCAGCAGCACCACUAACAGCACUAGCAUCAGCACUACCAGCAGCAGCAGCAGCAGCAGCAGCAGCACCAGCACCAACACCAAUACCAGCACCAGCAGAACUACUAGCAUCAGCAUCAGCACCAGCACCAGCACCACUAGCAGCAGCAGCAGCACCACUAGCAGCAGCAGCACCAGCACUACCAGCAGCACCAGCAGCAGCACCAGCACCAGCACCAAUACCAGCACCAGCAGCACCACUAGCAACAGCAGCAGCAGCACCAGAACCAGUACCAGCAUCAGCAGCACUAGCACCAGCAGCACCAGCACCAGCACCAGAACCAGCACCAACAGCAGUAGCACCCAACAGCAGCCAGCAUUUAUAAAUCACUUUUAAAAAAUUAUUCAAUUUGAUCUUCAUUGAAACCUUGUAAGGUGAGUGUUCAUGUGAACUUUUGAUAAAUUCAAUAUUUUUAAAUAUAAUUUGUUGCAAAUGUGUUAUAUCUUCCUAUUAAACUGUAAAUUCCCAUGAAGGUAAAGGACCACAUAUUACAUAUUAUUGUAUUUCCCCUUCUUCCUACUAUACUGUUGAACAAAAGUUUUUGCACACAUUAACUGUUGUUUGUUGAAAACCUAAAAACAAUAUGAACUAGUUGGAAAAAGAAAAUAGGAUUAAUUCCUUCCCUUCCCUCAUAGCUUCUUCGUCCCUUUUACCUCUCCUUCCUGCCUCAUCAACUCUUUAUAUAUGCUAUUUUCAACCUUCUACUCUCUCAUAUCCAUUUCAUGGAUCCUCCUUAAAGUAAGCAACAAGGGAUCCCUUCUAAAAUCCCUCCCAGCUUUAAAUGUACAAUGCUGUGAUCCAGCCUCAGUUAAAGGCCAUAUGUGACACAUGCUCAACCCUGUCAUAGUUAUAAAUAAACAGAAAUGUCUAUUUCUAGGAAGUUCAAGAGGGUUCCCCUCCAGGGUCAGGGCUGGGAGCUACUGUGAUUGAAUGCGGAUCUUUAGCUGUGGGCGUGGGUUUUUAUGUACAUUGUGUAUCUGUAGGGCACAAAAUGACCUCUAAGGCACCUUGCAACUCUGUAUAAUCCAUGGAUCUAGCUAAGGGCAAGUUUGUUCACAGAUAAAUUAGCUUACCCUCUGUGUACUUGUUUUCUCCUUUUGUAAAAUGCAUAAUAAUAAUACCUGCAAUUUUUAUUUAGCAAGAUUGUUGUAAAGACAAAAAGAAAUAAAGCGCAUAUAGUGGGGCCAUUCCCUUCUCUUCUGACAUGGAUUCUGGUUCCAGGCUACCAUGUGGUUGGAACUGGGGGGAAGAAGGACUGAUUCCAGUCAUGUAUGAGUCAUUGCUGAGAAACUUGCACUAGAAGAUGACUAUGAGCCUACAUAUUGACUGAGGACUAGAGAAAUUAAUGUCUUAGUAGAUGUACAAAAGGGAGUACAGGUUGGUCUCUCUCUCUCUCUCUUUUUCCAGCUGUAUCUGAGAGUUGGGUGGCUGGUUUCCAUAAUACUGGCUGCCAUCACAUGACAAUCAAAGUACCUAUAUCUCUCCCCCACUAGCCGGGGUCUGAGCUGCCUCUUUUGGGCUAACUCUUGAUUUUAAUCAUGUAAGUAUCCAAUUUGAAAUAAUGUUCAGGACUGCUCCUGAUCUUAUGUAUUUGAGAGGUCAGGAUGCCCUGAAGUCUCCCAUUUUGAAGUUUUAUGGGGGAGUAUCCCCAGCAAUUACUGAAGUGCUC